rnacentral:rRNA from 1 species
GUGGUUUGUCGCGUCUCUGUGAAAUCCGGGGCUUAACUCCGGGCGUGCAGGCGAUACGGGCAUAACUUGAGUGCUGUAGGGGAGACUGGAAUUCCUGGUGUAGCGGUGAAAUGCGCAGAUAUCAGGAGGAACACCGAUGGCGAAGGCAGGUCUCUGGGCAGUUACUGACGCUGAGGAGCGAAAGCAUGGGUAGCGAACAGGAUUAGAUACCCUGGUAGUCCAUGCCGUAAACGGUGGGCGCUAGGUGUAGGGGGCUUCCACGUCUUCUGUGCCGUAGCUAACGCAUUAAGCGCCCCGCCUGGGGAGUACGGCCGCAAGGCUAAAACUCAAAGGAAUUGACGGGGGCCCGCACAAGCGGCGGAGCAUGUGGAUUAAUUCGAUGCAACGCGAAGAACCUUACCUGGGCUUGACAUACACCAGAUCGCUGCAGAGAUGUAGUUUCCCUUGUGGUUGGUGUACAGGUGGUGCAUGGUUGUCGUCAGCUCGUGUCGUGAGAUGUUGGGUUAAGUCCCGCAACGAGCGCAACCCUUGUCUUAUGUUGCCAGCAUUUGGUUGGGGACUCAUGAGAGACUGCCGGGGUUAACUCGGAGGAAGGUGGGGAUGACGUCAAAUCAUCAUGCCCCUUAUGUCCAGGGCUUCACACAUGCUACAAUGGUCGGUACAACGCGCAGCGACACUGUGAGGUGGAGCGAAUCGCUGAAAGCCGGUCUUAGUUCGGAUUGGGGUCUGCAACUCGACCCCAUGAAGUCGGAGUCGCUAGUAAUC